AUAAAUAGAAGUGUGAGAGUAGAAAGGGGAGGCGGAGUUGUGGCUGCGGCGGCGUGGGGUCCUCUCUCUUUCUACGUUCAAAUUCUCAAAAUCUCCCAAUUCUCCCUCGUUCUUCCACCGCUCGCUCGCUCUUCGCGCCCAGCUCUUAGUUCUGUGGUGUAUGCUCAUAUGUGAAUUCAUUUCAUCGAAAUGUCUCUCCUCAGUAGAUUCUUUUACAGAAGACCCCCGGAUGGGUUGCUGGAAUUUGUUGAACGAGUAUAUAUUUUUGACUCGUGCUUUUCUACUGAAGUAUUGCCUGAUGAUAUGUACCAAAUAUAUCUGCACGAAAUCAUAAACGAAUUACAUGAAGAAUUCCCCGAGUCCUCUUUUCUUGCUUUUAAUUUUCGUGAAGGGGAGAAACGGAGCCAAUUUUCACAAAUGUUGUGCGAGUAUGAUGUCACUGUGAUGGAUUAUCCUCGACAAUAUGAAGGUUGCCCGCUUCUACCGCUGUCGUUAAUACAGCACUUCCUCCAUGUUUGUGAAAGUUGGCUUCUGCUAGGUAACCAACAAAAUGUCAUUCUUCUCCACUGUGAGAGGGGAGGUUGGUCACUGUUAGCAUUCCUUUUGGCUAGCUUUUUGAUAUUUAGAAAACUGCACAGUGGUGAGAGGAAAACUCUUGAAAUUGUUCAUCGAGAAGCUCCCAAAGGGUUUUUGCAGCUCUUGUCACCAUUAAAUCCAUUCCCAUCUCAGCUCCGCUACUUGCAAUAUGUUGCAAGGAGAAAUAUAGUCUCUGAGUGGCCACCACCCGAGCGAGCGCUUUCUUUAGAUUGUGUAAUUCUUCGUGGCAUUCCGGGUUUUGAUUCUCAGAAUGGCUGCAGACCAGUUGUUCGUAUUUUUGGGAGGAAUCUUUUUAGUAAGGGUGGGCUUUCCACGCAGAUGAUUUUCUCUAUGCCCAAGAAGAACAAGGCCCUCCGUCACUACCAUCAGGCAGAGUGUGAUGUGAUUAAAAUAGACGUUCAGUGUUUGGUUCAAGGAGAUGUAGUGUUGGAGUGUUCACAUUUGGAACCAGAACAAGAAAGGGAAGUUAUGAUGUUUCGUAUUAUGUUCAAUACAGCGUUUAUUCGAUCAAACAUACUGAUGCUAACCUCUGAAAAUUUGGACAUUCUUUGGGAUUCAAAGGAGCGUUAUCCAAAAGGCUUUCGAGCUGAGGUUCUGUUUGGAGAGAUGGAAAGCAUCUCCCCUCCAAGGGCUCCAACCACAAUUUUGAAUGGUGAAGAGAAAGGUGGAUUACCAAUUGAAGCUUUUUCCAGGGUUCAAGAACUUUUUAGUGGUGUUGAGUGGAUUGAUAACAAUGAUGAUGCUGCCUUGUGGCUACUCAAGAAUCUUUCUGCCUUGAGUGAUGUGAAGGAAUUGUCAAGAUUGCAAAAUAAAACAAGUUCAUACUCCUCACCAGUGGAUUCUGAAGAGGAAAAUAAUACAUCUAGCACUGCCGAUAGUUUAGAUGAAGUAUUUGAUACCAUUACAAGGCCUGUGGUUGAUUCAACUUCUACCAAUUUUACAAUUCCAGCUACGGUACAUUCUUCUGAAUUAUUGUCGGACAAGAUUGGUGCUAAUGAAGUGAAUAUUUCAUCAGAGUCUCCUCAACUUUCUGAUGAAUUUCAAGAUGAGAUAUCUUCGAAUAAAGAACCUCCAUUAACUUCUGUUGGCUCCUCAACCCCUCCUAUAAGUUCUUUGAUGUCAUCGCCACUGUUACCUCCAUCUAAUCUACCAUCUACUAAUGCUAGUGGGGAACUUGUCUCAAAUAAAAUGACACCCACUGAUGAAGUAAUUCCUCCUCCACCACCACCGCCGCCGCCACCUUUUUCCCUGUCUCAUAAUGAACCUCAUGUAGAAACUUCCAUGAGUUCAAAUUUGACUACCAUAACAAUGCAUGGGAGACCCCCUCCACCACCUCCACCUCCACCACCUCCACCUCAAUAUACUACCGGUACCAAUCCUGUUGAAGCCUCUUUGACUCAUUCACUGUCGCUUGUUCCUAAAACUUCGGGUGCUCCUCCACCCCCACCUCCCCCUCCCCCUCCCCCUCCACAAGUUGUUGGUCCACCUCCACCUAUUUCAAAUUCCUCCAGUUCUCCACUUCCUCCUCCACCUCCACCUCCGCCUCCAGUUCCAAAAUCUUUUGGUACUGGAGGUGGAGGUGGAGGACCUCCACCUCCCCCUCUUCUAAAAUCUUCUAGUGCUCCUCCACCUCCACCUCCACCUCCGCCUCCAAUUCCAAAACUUUCUGGUGCUCCUCCACCUCCACCUCCACCUCCAAAACUUUCUGGUGCUCCUCCACCUCCACCUCCACCUCCAAAACUUUCUGGUGCUCCUCCACCUCCACCACCACCUCAAAAACUUUCUGGUGCUCCUCCACCUCCACCUCCACCUCCAAAACUUUCUGGUGCUCCUCCACCUCCGCCUCCGCCUCCAAAACUUUCUGGUGCUCCUCCACCUCCCCCUCCGCCUCCUAAACUUUCUGGUGCUCCUCCACCUCCACCUCCACCUCCACAAUCAAAUCGCGGUGCACCGGUUCCACCUCCUCCACCACCAAGACCUCCCAGUGUUGAGCUACCAAGUCAUGGUACUAAACCAACUAGACCUCCUCCACCUCCUCCACCGUCAAAGUCCUCUAAUGCUCACCCUCCGUCAAGUCAUGGUGCUACACCAAUGCCACCCCCUCCCCCCGGAUCAAGAGGGCCAAAUGUACCGCCACCACCUCCUCCUUCUGUUGGAAGAGGCAAAGCUUCUCUAGGGUCAACAACUCAAGGAAAAGGCCGUCUUGCUACUGGAGUUGUAAAUGCUCCAAAAAAAACCACUUUAAAACCAUUGCACUGGGUAAAAGUUACUCGAGCAAUGCAAGGCAGUUUGUGGGCUGAUUCACAAAAGCAGGAAAAUCAAUCAAGGGCCCCAGAAAUAGACAUCUCUGAACUUGAAAGUCUAUUCUCAGCAGCCUCUGCUUCUGAUGGAAGUGGUAGUAAAGGUGGAGGACGACGUGGUUCCAAUAUCAACAAACCGGAAAAAGUGCAACUGAUUGACCUGCGGAGAGCAUAUAAUUGUGAAAUAAUGCUCUCAAAAAUAAAGAUUCCCUUACCGGAUAUGAUAAAUUCAGUUCUUGCAUUGGAUUCUUCUGCUCUUGAUAUUGACCAGGUUGAGAAUCUCAUCAAGUUUUGUCCUACCAGGGAAGAGAUGGAAACGUUGAAGAAUUAUACAGGUGACAGACAAAUGCUAGGAAAGUGUGAGCAGUUUUUUCUCGAGCUAAUGAAGGUCCCACGAAUAGAGUCCAAGUUACGAGUGUUUGCUUUCAAAAUAACCUUUUCUAGUCAGGUGAAUGAUUUGAGAUACAACUUGAACACAAUAAAUGAUGCUACAAGAGAGCAACAGGUCAAAGAAUCUGCAAAAUUGCGUCAGAUAAUGCAAACAAUUCUGACACUGGGAAAUGCGUUAAACCAGGGCACUGCUCGAGGCUCUGCUAUAGGUUUUAAGUUGGACAGCCUCCUUAAAUUGUCUGACACUCGGGCAAGAAACAACAAAAUGACUUUGAUGCAUUAUUUGUGUAAGCUCAUUGCAGAAAAAAUGGCGGAAUUACUUGAUUUUGAUAAGGACCUUGUUCAUUUAGAAGCUGCCUCUAAGAUUCAAUUGAAAGCAUUGGCUGAGGAAAUGCAAGCAGUGAGUAAAGGUCUUGAAAAGAUGGAGCAAGAGCUAACUGCUUCAGAAAAUGACGGUGCUAUCUCUAUUGGUUUCCAGAAGGUGCUGAAGAUUUUUCUUGAUACGGCUGAAGCUGAAGUAAGGGCACUUAUUUCCUUAUAUUCUGAAGUGGGGAGAAACGCAGAUUCGCUAUCCCAGUACUUCGGCGAGGAUCCAGCUCGGUGCCCCUUUGAGCAAGUGACUCAAAUUUUGAUAGUCUUUGUUAAGAUGUUCAAGAAGUCUCGAGAAGAAAACGAAAGACAGGCUGAUGCUGAAAAGAGAAAAAUAGAGAAGGAAGCCAUGAAAGAACGAAGUUCAGUUAAGGCAAAGUGAGACCAUAUUAUGUUUUUAGUAGAAGGUAGUGCCAGACAAGCCUAAUUGGUUAAUUCGGUCGAAUACCUGAAGAGGUGCGAAUGUGAAAAUCAGAUGUAUGAUUCAUAGACUUCCUUCACGCUGAGCACAAGGCAAUUUUGUUCCCAGGUUGGCUCUUCGCCCUCCUGCGCUGCCAUUUCUUUCAUCAAUAUUGUGCUUUGUAAAUACGUAGCGAAUACCGACUCAUGGAGUGGUUGCCUUUUGACAACGAGGUUAGAGCUCUGUUGAUCUCAGCUUGACAUUGUCAUUAUGGUAACAAAACUUCACAGAUAGCAACAUAUGGAUAUAUAUCAAUUGUUGAAGAUAGUUGAAAUAGGGCUAUGACCUUUGUACAGGUAGAUAUCAUUGCUAUAUUUUGGUAGUUUUCUUGACUCGUGGUGGCUUCUGCUGCACAUUUAUUGUAAAGAAAAGGUCACAAUUUCUAGUUAAAAUGGUGUUUCAUUAGUUCAUGUGGAAAA